UAAUACGUAGGGAGCGAGCGUUACUCGGAAUUACUGGGCAUAAAGGGAGUGUAGGCGGAGGCGCAAGUCUGAUGUAAAAGCCCUCGGCUCAACCGGGGAAGGCCAUUGGAAACUGCGUUUCUUGAGCAUGGGAGGGGAGAGUGGAACUCUUGGUGGAGCGGUGAAAUGCGUAGAUAUCAAGAGGAACGCCGGUGGCGAAAGCGGCUCUCUGGCCCAUUACUGACGCUGAGGCUCGAAAGCCAGGGUAGCGAACGGGAUUAGAUACCCCGGUAGUCCUGGCCCUAAACGAUGAGCACUAGGUAGGGGUAGCUCUGAUGCUUUCCCUGCUGUAGCUAACGUGUUAAGUGCUCCGCCUGGGGAGUACGGUCGCAAGGCUG
rnacentral:rRNA from 1 species